rnacentral:rRNA from 1 species
UACGAAGGGGGCUAGCGUUGCUCGGAAUGACUGGGCGUAAAGGGCGCGUAGGUGGUGACCUAAGCGUGCGGUGAAAGCCCGAGGCUCAACCUCGGGUCGGCCGUGCGAACUGGGUCACUGGAGCAGAAUAGAGGCAGGUGGAAUUCCGGGUGUAGCGGUGGAAUGCGUAGAGAUCCGGAAGAACACCGGUGGCGAAGGCGGCCUGCUGGGUUCUGGCUGACACUGAGGCGCGACAGCGUGGGGAGCAAACAGG